rnacentral:miRNA from 1 species
AGGCAGUGAAAUGUUAGCUGGU